rnacentral:rRNA from 1 species
CUCUAAGCGGUGGAUCACUCGGUUCUCGGCUCGAUGAAGAACGCAGCCAGCUGCGAGACUUGGUGUGAAUUGCAGGACACACUGAGCACUUACUCUUUGAACGCACAUUGCGGCCUCGGGCCAUCCCGUGGCUUCGUCUGUCUGAGUUUCGG